rnacentral:rRNA from 1 species
CGAAGGGUGCAAGCGUUACUCGGAAUUACUGGGCGUAAAGCGUGCGUAGGUGGUUUGUUAAGUCUGAUGUGAAAGCCCUGGGCUCAACCUGGGAAUUGCAUUGGAUACUGGCAGGCUAGAGUGCGGUAGAGGAUGGCGGAAUUCCCGGUGUAGCAGUGAAAUGCGUAGAGAUCGGGAGGAACAUCUGUGGCGAAGGCGGCCAUCUGGACCAGCACUGACACUGAGGCACGAAAGCGUGGGGAGCAAACAGGAUUAGAUACCCUGGUAGUCCACGCCCUAAACGAUGCGAACUGGAUGUUGGGAGCAACUAGGCUCUCAGUAUCGAAGCUAACGCGUUAAGUUCGCCGCCUGGGGAGUACGGUCGCAAGACUG